UGGGGAAUAUUGCACAAUGGGGGAAACCCUGAUGCAGCGACGCCGCGUGAGCGAAGAAGGCUUUCGAGUCGUAAAGCUCUGUCCUAUGAGAAGAUAAUGACGGUAUCAUAGGAUGAAGCCCUGGCUAAAUACGUGCCAGCAGCCGCGGUAAUACGUAUGGGGCGAGCGUUGUCCGGAAUUAUUGGGCGUAAAGGGUACGUAGGCGGUUUUUUAAGUCAGGUGUCAAAGCGUGGAGCUUAACUCCAUUAAGCACUUGAAACUGAAAGACUUGAGUGAAGGAGAGGAAAGUGGAAUUCCUAGUGUAGCGGUGAAAUGCGUAGAUAUUAGGAGGAAUACCGGUGGCGAAGGCGACUUUCUGGACUUUUACUGACGCUCAGGUACGAAAGCGUGGGGAGCAAACAGG
rnacentral:rRNA from 1 species